UACGUAGGGGGCGAGCGUUGUCCGAAGUUACUGGGCGUAAAGCGCGUGUAGGCGGGGCUUUAAGUGAGGGGGGAAAGGUUUGGGCUUAACCCAGACACUGCCUUUCAUACUGGAGACCUUGAGUGCGGGAGAGGCGAGUGGAAUGGUCGGUGUAGCGGUGAAAUGCGUAGAUAUCGAUCGGAACACCCAUGGCGAAGGCAGCUCGCUGGCCUGUAACUGACGCUGAGACGCGAAAGCGUGGGGAGCAAACAGG
rnacentral:rRNA from 1 species